GACGAACGCUGGCGGCGUGCUUAACACAUGCAAGUCGAACGAAGUGGCGAACGGGUGAGUAAUACGUGGGUAACCUGCCCUCCUUUUUAGGAUAAGCCUUGGAAACGGGGUCUAAUACAGAAUAACGGGGGAUGGGCGCGCGGCCUAUCAGCGUGUUGGGGGGGUGGUGGACUACCAAGGCGGUGACGGGUAGCCGGACUGAGAGGGUGACCGGCCACAUUGGGAGUGAGAUAGGGCACAGAGUCCUCCGGGAGGCAGCAGUGGGGGAUAUUGCACAAUGGGCGAAAGCCGGAUGCAGCGACGCCGCGUGGGGUAUGAAGGCUUUAGGGUUGUAAACCUCUUUCGCUAUUGAACGGGUAGGUGGAGAAUAAGCGCCGGCUAACUACGUGCCAGCAGCCGCGGUAAUUC
rnacentral:rRNA from 1 species